CCUACGGGUGGCAGCAGUGGGGAAUAUUGCACAAUGGGGGAAACCCUGAUGCAGCGACGCCGCGUGAGUGAAGAAGUAAUUCGUUACGUAAAGCUCUAUCAGUAGGGAAGAAAAACUGACCUUACGGUCAGUAGACGGUACCCGAGUAAGAAGCCCCGGCUAACUACGUGCCAGCAGCCGCGGUCAUCCGUAGGGGGGAAGAGUUAACCGGAUUUACUGGGUGGAAAGGGAGCGUAGACGGUGAGCCAAGUCUGGAGUGAAAUGCCGGAGCUUAAGUGCGGAACUGCUUUUGAUACUGGCGAACUAGAGUGCGGGAGGGGUAAGCGGAAUUCCUAGUGUAGCGGUGAAAUGCGUAGAUAUUAGGAGGAACACCGGUGGCGAAGGCAGCUUACUGGGCCUUAACUGACGUUGAGGCUCGAAAGCGUGGGGAGCAAACAGGAUUAGAUACCCCUGUAGUC
rnacentral:rRNA from 1 species